UAGAGUUUGAUCAUGGCUCAGAUUGAACGCUGGCGGCAGGCCUAACACAUGCAAGUCGAACGGUAGCACAGAGAGCUUGCUCUCGGGUGACGAGUGGCGGACGGGUGAGUAAUGUCUGGGAAACUGCCUGAUGGAGGGGGAUAACUACUGGAAACGGUAGCUAAUACCGCAUAACGUCUUCGGACCAAAGUGGGGGACCUUCGGGCCUCACACCAUCGGAUGUGCCCAGAUGGGAUUAGCUAGUAGGUGGGGUAAUGGCUCACCUAGGCGACGAUCCCUAGCUGGUCUGAGAGGAUGACCAGCCACACUGGAACUGAGACACGGUCCAGACUCCUACGGGAGGCAGCAGUGGGGAAUAUUGCACAAUGGGCGCAAGCCUGAUGCAGCCAUGCCGCGUGUAUGAAGAAGGCCUUCGGGUUGUAAAGUACUUUCAGCGGGGAGGAAGGCGAUAAGGUUAAUAACCUAUCGAUUGACGUACC
rnacentral:rRNA from 1 species